UCUGAGCCCAUGACCAUCAUGUUCUUCUUGGUUGAUGCCAUUCCCCCCCACCCACUUCCCUGGGAGGAGUCAGGUCACAUCAACCCCUUGCCCAGGCUCCCGCUGGCUUCUCCAUUGCUCUGUUUAAUCUGGACUGAUCAGAAAUGACAGGAGAAACAAAGGUCCGGGAACAGAUUUACUGCAGAAAAUAAAGCCAGCCGAUUAUGGCUGUGGCCUCAGCAUCUUGAAGUGACAGAGAGAAUAGAUGGGCUGGUGGAAAACGGUAUCAAGUCCCCUAGGAAACGUAAGUCACAUGGAGAAGAAGAAAGGGCCCUGGAUCUUCAGGAGCCCCAUGGGCUGUGUGAGCAUCCAGCUGUGGCUGGAAAUGUCACUGUGCCAGGGAGGAGGCCAUGGCAUCCGUGGUCCCUAAGUCCUGGACUCCAAGGGCCCAGCUGGAGUAGCUGCCUAGCCUGUCCCAUCGAUGCAGCUGGCAAGGCUCUGCCCCAGGAUGCAGCAGGGUCCAGGACCCAUAGAGGUGCCAAUGACAUCAUAGCUCCAUUGUUCCCCUAAAAGGCUGGCCCAGCACCUCAGGGACUCCAGGGUCAGUGCUCAGUGAGAAAGACAGGAAGCAGCCAAGGGAAGGUGAUAGGGCAGGAAGCCAGGAAGGACUGCUCCUCAAUCUGCAUAUGAACACAGGGAAAGGAUGGUGGCUCUUAGCCCAGCAGGCCUGCCUGUCCUCCCUCCCAGCUGCUGUCACUCUGAGCUGUGCAUCCUUGGGUCAGGUAGAAAUGGAGUCGUCCCAGGACCACAUCUGUCUCCUGCAGCCAACUCUCCUGGCUCAGUGAUUCAGGGCUCCUCAUCUGUGAUUAACAGGUGCCUCCUGUCUGGUGGAGACUCUUUCUCAACACCAUGUCCCCUCAAAGCAGGGGCAAAAGGAAAACAGCAUCUUGCACAGGGAGGUUUUGCAUGCUUAGAGCAACAAGCAACAGAGAAAACACACUCACAUUCUCCCUUCCUCAAAUAAACCGACUUCUCCACUCGUCCCUUCCCUUGAAAACAGAAGCACUAUUCAAAAGGAAAAAGAAGAAAGGAAUUAAAAAAAAGAACUGAAUAGGAGAAGAAGAAGAAAAGGGAGGAAAAAAGAGAGCGAGAAGAGAGCUAUCCCCGAGGGAGGUGGCAAGAGCUCAGAAUGAAGGAAAGGAGAGCAGAGACACAAAGGGUGGGGAGAGAAAGACAGAAGCUUUGAAAGAAAGAAUGUUCCAGCGUGAAUGCAGCGUGCAGGGGAGAGAAGCGCGCUUGAAAAGGAGCAGCCCGAUGCGGUGACCCCUCAUUCACACAAGGUGCCAAUCAUGGUGACAAUGCAAAGCCUUUCUUCUUUUCUACUUCUCUCCUUUCUGGGGAGGGAAAGGCUGAGAACUGCAAGUUAAUUUCUAAAAGUACCCCCCAAAAUAAAUAAAUAAAUUCGAUUCCACUGGCGAAACAUCAAA